CAACAACAGAAAUCUCUCUCUCAAAUUCUCCUCUCAACCCUCUCUAAAUUCUCCUCUCAUCCCAGAUUCUCUUCUUUUCUCAUCUAAUCUCCCUUCUUCUGUGUAAAUUCUGAGUGAGAAGCAGCUGAUACAUUACAGAGAACCUGCUACAUAACGUGCUAGUUUUGCAUGUGCACUCUUCGUCCCUCUGUGUGCGUGUUUCUCUUUUCUUUCUGGGUUGG
rnacentral:misc_RNA from 1 species